ensembl:lncRNA
AUGGCGGCACAAAACCAGGAUCCACAACCGAACCUUGCAAUGGUAUCCCCUGAGAAUGAUGGAGAAAAGGAACCAAGUGUCUGGAAAGAUCCGCUGCUGCCCCAAAAACAAGCAGACACCUGCCAAGUGCUGCAUAUUCCUAUGCCUUUGCUCCUCCAGCAGCCAAUAGCUGAAAAGCUCCAAAGCAAAAUAGAGCGGGUGUUCCCAUGUGCGACGCCGACAAGCCGUGCAAGAACUGUGCUGGACACCACUGCGGCCACCAGGAAUGUGACGUCCUCAGCCUGCAUGCACGGAGAACACUGGGAACCAUGGGGACCUGGGAGAAGUGAGACGUCUUUUGUUGAAAUAAUCCAUUCAGUUUGGGACUGGAUAUACCUGUGCCUUUGCAUGCGUGUUCCUGGCUCUCAGCUCUGCAGCUGCUGUUGUCCUGCUGCCCCUGGUGCUCUCGGGGCAGCUCGUCCCUUUGCAGUGUCUGUGGUUUUCCAUGGAACCGCUCUCUGCGGUGCAGCCGUCGUCGCCGUAUCUGUUUCCAUCCCCCCCCUCCGGGCGCUGUACUUCAACCAAGUGAAACAGAUGUGGUUUGCAGAGCAAAAUCUCUGCAGCGGAUCAUUUCUCUGUAGGUAAGCUGGGCUGUGGCUUUAAUUAUCAGUUAGUUAGAAAUGGGCAGCUGCACGAUCCUGUGCAUUUUUAGGAAAAAUGCCUUCUCUAAGUGAGCCCGUGCUUUUACAGCGCAUCCCAGAGCGUUGGCUCAAACCCUCUGCAGCGCUCAGGGCCCCGGGCCGUGGUGUCCAUGCUUCGCCGCGCGGCAUUGGUGCAGCACAGGAAAGCUGCAGGCUCAUUGCUGGCGGUGCCGUGUCACAGACACCGCGGGUUCUGCAGAACAUCCCAGUGGGAUUGUGUUCUGUGCGUUUGAUCUGAGCUUAAGCAACACAAUUCAUUGUUUUCUGUGAUGAAAAAUAACAUGGAAGUAAGUGGGGGAACCUUUGCAUCUGAAGGCUCCGUGGUUCCAGUUGGAUGAACGAACCCUGUGCGAGGCCAGGCCGAGCUGCAGGCCCUCCUCCUUCCUGAUCUUCCUGCCUAACUCGCGACGGUUUGGGUGGAAAUGAGCAGAGAGCGAACGUACUUUUUUCACCAAACAGUUUCAUUCCAGCAGAGGGAUCUGUGUUGUGUAGUAUAAAACCACUUAAAACCUCGGGCACGAUGUGCAGCAGCGCCCAGCUGGGUGCUCACCGGCUGCCACUGCUCCGCGCUGUGCCGUGCCGGGGCCGUGCCGGGGCCGUGCCGCUCCGCGCUGCGCCGUGCCGGGGCCGUGCCGCUCCGCGCUGCGCCGUGCCGUGCCGCAGAGUCCCUGCGCACCGCGGUCUUCGCGCACCCGCUCGGCCGGGGCAGCCCGCGUGCUGCGCUCUCUGCUCACGGGGACGCGCGGCCGGUCCGAGCACGGGUCGGGUGUCCGCAUGCGGGACGUGAACCUUUGCGGGAGGAGAGGGAGAGAUACAAACGAGUGAAACAUUUCGACACGGGGUAUGUAAGGUGCGCAACAGCGCUUUGAGAGAAAGAUCUCCUCCUCCUCUGCGCUUUGGGAGCAUUUUCUUGACACAAACAAAAUGUAUAUGGAUGGAAAAAUGCUUUAAAGUUGAAACUCGGGAUUCCAUUCUGAACUUAAUACACGCUGUAAAAAUCAACGUGACAGCACAGCGUGGCUGAUUUUAAAUACAGUUUGAUACAGCACACUUAUGACAGGAAUAUUUAAUGCAUUGCAUUCUCAUGUAAUUAAUGCUGAAAACCCUGAAAAAAAAGAAGUUGAAGGUGUACUUUGAUGUUUGCAAUACUCUUCCCUUUAUGAAAGCAGAGAACUGGAGCCCUUGGCAGAGAUUCCCCUUCCACCAGCACGGCUCACACAGAUUGCGGGUUGUUUCCGCAGCCAGCGAGCUGCGUGUGCUGCAGAUCCAGCUGUGGGACCGCGCGUGUUUGGGCGACUGGGAGGAACCUCAGUGCCCUGCUCUGUGCACGUCAGCGUGAUCUGCAGCGCACAACAGAUGUCUUAAUAAAAGAACCAGGAUGUUUUCUUCUAUCA